AGCCUGCUACAGGGCAGCUGUGGCUACAGAUGUAGUUUACCACCACCAGAGGGGGAAAGUAAGAGUGAAAGAAUAAUGAGUCAAUAAUGUAAAGUGCUUUGAGUACUAAGAAAGGCGCUAUAUAAAUCCAAUCCAUUAU